CACGAACUUACGACGACGCGACGGACGAAACUCUCAGGGAGUCAGGACCUAGGAGGGUCAGGACUCAGGGCUGGCUAGAGAGCUAACAGCUAACCUCAAAAUGUUAUUUUGGUUUGGUCGUUUAUAGGCUACUCGUUUGGUGUUAUUAUUGAAUUAGGAUCUAGGAGUACUGUUCGUGCGUGUAUUUAUCUAAGUAAAAUACUAACUGUAUACUAUAUUAAAUUUGUUUCACAUCCAGUUUAGUUAAAGAAGGGGCAAUAGAUUUGAAGAGGAAAAGGAACUUCAAUUCAUGUCGCAAGAAUAAUAAUUAACCUAAUCUGUCAAAUAUUAAAGAAACGUUAAACAAAAGUUAAUUAAAUUAUACAUCACUUUUAUUUAUAAGCUAAUGCAAUAUUUAUUAUUUAAAAACAACAUGAAACAUUAAAGCCACUUUAUCCUAAAGUCAAGACAAAAAAAGGAAAAUGCCUUAACAUUUGAUGUCAUAAGAAGAUUGCGGAUAAUGAUUCAAUAAUUUUUAAACCUGGAAUGUAGCAUUUCUAUUGAAAACUGUUCAUGGAGGGAAGCAAUAAUCAGGAGGAAUUAGAACUCGAGGUAAAAAACUGCCCAAAAGCUAUUCCUAAAAAAAGAACAAAUAGUCAAACUGAAAAAUCAUCUAAAAAGAUCAAAUUUGAACAGAAUAAAAGUGAUUCCACAACUAUGGAAGCAGGUGAUGACUCUGUGACCCCCCCUGAAAAUCUGAUUUUGGAAAAAAUCCUUUUUGAGAAACAAAAGGAAUUCUUUGGCUCACCAGAAGUGAUGGAAACAAUCAAGUUCCUGAUUAAUCGGAAAAGAAAAGAGUGUUGUUUAGACCAGUGAGGAAAUGCAGGAUUGACUACAUUUUACUUUCACUCAACAAUCACCCAGUUUCAGCAAAACAUCCAAUAAGCAGAGAUAAGUUGUGCUGCAUAAAAACACCAUAAUGAUUUUUAGUUUUUAAUUUAUUAAAAUGAUAUAACAAAGAUAAA